UUGGAGGGCAAGUCUGGUGCCAGCAGCCGCGGUAAUUCCAGCUCCAAUAGCGUAUAUUAAAGUUGUUGCAGUUAAAAAGCUCGUAGUUGAAUUUCGGGGUUAGUAGGUUGGUCAUGCCACUGGUAUGUACUGGUCUCACUGAUUCCUCCUUCCUGAUGAGCCGUAAUGCCAUUAAUUUGGUGUUGCGAGGAAUCUGGACUGUUACUUUGAAAAAAUUAGAGUGUUUAAAGCAAGCUAACGCUUGAAUACAUUAGCAUGGAAUAAUGAAAUAGGACGUUCGAUCCUAUUUUGUUGGUUUCUAGGAUUGACGUAAUGAUUAAUAGGGAUAGUUGGGGGCAUUAGUAUUCAAUUGUCAGAGGUGAAAUUCUUGGAUUUAUUGAAGACUAACUACUGCGAAAGCAUUUGCCAAGGAUGUUUUCAUUAAUCAAGAACGAAAGUUAGGGGAUCGAAGACGAUCAGAUACCGUCGUAGUCUUAACCAUAAACUAUGCCGACUAGGGAUCGGAUGAUGUUAAUUUUUUAAUGACUCAUUCGGCGCCUUCCGGAAAC
rnacentral:rRNA from 1 species